rnacentral:tRNA from 1 species
UCCCCGGUAGCUCAGUGGUAGAGCAACCGGCUGUUAACCGGUUGGUCCCUCGUUCGAAUCCGGCCCGGGGAGCCA